rnacentral:lncRNA from 1 species
AAGGGUUUAAUGUUUAGGAUUUAGGGUUUUAGUUUUUAGUGUUUUUGAUUUAGAUUUUAUGACUUAUCCAAGGGUUUAGAUUUUAAAAUUUAGGGAUUAGGAUUUACGGUUUAGUGUGUUGCUGAUGACGUUAAUAAUAUGUUUAAAAAUUUCUUUUUUUUUUUGUAACUACUCUUUUUUUUUACCUUUUUUUUUAAAUCAUAAAAUAACUUGACAAUAUUUUGUUUCCUUUUCUAAUAGAUAUCGACUUUGAAAUAAAGAAAUUCUAUUGGUUAGUGAACCUAAAGGUUCACUCUAGUGGUGAACCCAAGAAUAACUCGUCAUACGAUCAUUAACCAUUAUUGCUUUUUAGAAAUUAAUAGCUUAAUAAUAAGUUUAACAUUAUAUAUAUAACUUAUUAGUUAAAGUAUAAUCAGAAUAUUUAUAAAUAAAAAUUAAUUAUUUAGAUGUUAAUAUAUAAUAUAUCAAUGACAUUUAAUGAGGUCAAUGUUAAAAAUUAUUUUCUAACUCAUUUUUUGAAAUUACAUUAAAUUGGUUUUAAGGAUAAAU